GGCCCGUUGGUCAAGCGGUUAAGACGCCGCCCUCUCACGGCGGAAACAGGGGUUCGAUUCCUCUACGAGCUA
rnacentral:tRNA from 1 species